AUUGCUGGGAGAGCGUUCGGUUCGCAUCCGAGAGGUCAAGGGUUCGAAUCCCUCUAGGUCCA
rnacentral:tRNA from 2 species